rnacentral:rRNA from 1 species
AACGAACGCUGGCGGCAUGCCUAAUACAUGCAAGUCGAACGAGACCUUCGGGUCUAGUGGCACACGGGUGCGUAACGCGUGGGAAUCUGCCCUUGGGUUCGGAAUAACAUCGGGAAACUGAUGCUAAUACCGGAUGAUAUCGAAAGAUCAAAGAUUUAUCGCCCAGGGAUGAGCCCGCGUAGGAUUAGCUAGUUGGUGGGGUAAAGGCUCACCAAGGCGACGAUCCUUAGCUGGUCUGAGAGGAUGAUCAGCCACACUGGGACUGAGACACGGCCCAGACUCCUACGGGAGGCAGCAGUAGGGAAUACUGGACAAUGGGGGCAACCCUGAUCCAGCAAUGCCGCGUGAGUGAUGAAGGCCUUAGGGUUGUAAAGCUCUUUUACCCGGGAUGAUAAUGACAGUACCGGGAGAAUAAGCCCCGGCUAACUCCGUGCCAGCAGCCGCCGUAACAC